rnacentral:tRNA from 1 species
UCAUGGUUAGCUCACUUGGUGUAGCGCUCCACUGGAAAUGGAGAGGCGCCUGGUUCAAUACCAGGACCAGGCG